rnacentral:lncRNA from 1 species
UUCACAGUACUUUAAAAACGACAUUUAACGAUUAUUGUAAUUAUUCUUUGACUUUUCUGUUCUUUGAUGUUACUGCUGCUGCUUUGCCUCAUGCAUCUUUUUUUUUUUCUUCAAGGUUAGUUUGGCUUACCAUAUGACUUUAGAACUGUCUCAUCUUUCAGAUGAGAAAAAACUUUGUUCCCAAAAGGUUCAGUGACAUGUUUGGUGGGGCAGAGCUGGUACUAGAUCUCAGGUUCCUUUAGCAGAUUUUUCCUGAGCGCCUAUUGCACUGUUACUGAUCUUAGAGUUACACAGAUUAAAAGAUAAGGCAUCUUCCCUCAAGGAACUCAAGCUAGUGAGAGAUUGAGCGUAAAAAACAAUUUGUAAUCAAAUAUGAAAAUUUCUCUGGUGGAGAACCCUGUGAAGUUCAAGAAACACAGGAGUGUUAAUAUAUCAUUUGAUUUUGAAUGUCAGAAAAGAAUUCAGAGGAAACAAUAUUCAAUCUAGGAAUACAAACUUAGACAAAAAAGGGAGGGCAUUCCAGACAGAGGGGAAACUGUUUUUGCAAAGGCUUAAUAUUAUGCUCAUGCCAAUCCUCCCAUAUUAAGCUAUAACUUCAGUAUAAUUCCAAACCAAAUUUUUAUAGCAUUUUCCUAAAACUUGAUUAGAUUAUUCUAAAACAGGUGAGAAUAGAUAGUACAACAAUGAACAGCAAUGAGGGAGCAGGGAGACUUGCCCUGCCAGGGAUCAAAAUACACCAUAAGGAUAUAUUAAUUAAAACUGUGUGGUAUUUAUGUAAGAAAAGACAAGCAGAAGAACAGAACAAUACAGAUUCCAAAAACAAAACCUGUAAAUUGUGUAAGGAAAAUAUAAAUGACUAGAUAUAAUUACCACUGCAGGGCUCAUUCAACUCCAUUUUUCCAGCAAUUAAACCCUUAACUUUUAAAUCUAGAGAAAUGAUUGCUAUGGAUAUGAAUUGAAUUAAUUAUUUGCAAAGGAAGAAUUUUUA